rnacentral:rRNA from 1 species
UACAGAGGGGGCGAGCGUUGUUCGGAAUUACUGGGCGUAAAGGGCGCGUAGGUGGCCUGCUGUGUCGAACGUGAAAUCCCUGGGCUCAACCCAGGAACUGCGUCCGAAACUGGCAGGCUCGAAUCCGGGAGAGGGAUGUGGAAUUCCAGGUGUAGCGGUGAAAUGCGUAGAUAUCUGGAGGAACACCGGUGGCGAAGGCGGCAUCCUGGACCGGUAUUGACGCUGAGGCGCGAAAGCCAGGGGAGCAAACGGG